UAGCAUGCAAGAAAUUUCCAGCCCAUUGCCCUUGGAUAAACUGUUAAAAAUCAAUUUAUUUCAUUUGACAAGAAGAAUUAAAAUAUUUAAAAAUAAUUAUUAUUGUCGGGUAGAAGCGACACGAUUCUCUUUUUAACCGACAUUAACUUUAUGUCUGUUGAAAGCGACACAAUUCUCUUUUUAUAUGACACCACCAUUUAAAAAGAUUAAAAACUAUGCCGAUUAUAAGCGACAUUAACAGUCUAUGUUGGUUAUAAGCGACAUAGACAGUUUAUGUCGGUUAUAACUGACAGUAAUUCCAACACCAUGUAAAAAGGCUGUGGGAAAUGUCUUAUCCGCCAUCAUAUUAUAUAAAACCAACACCAACCACCGACACAAUAAGCCACUUUUGUAGUAGUGACUUAUAAACCGUUGGAUUAGAUUCUCUUAUCUCAAUCUUAUGUGUUGGUUUGUUUCUCUGAAAUCAGACAAGAUAAGAUUCAUCUCAUAACUAAAUAGUAAUGCCCUUACAAUUUAGGUAUGUUGUCUGUUUAUAUUUUCAGUUUAGGUCUCUAAACUUCUAACCUCAUUUUAAUAUUUAUUGGGUUUUUAUUUAGAAAUUAGUAAAAGUAAGCACUUUUAGUAUAACAUAUUAUAUCAUUUUAUGUCUUAAGCAUUAAACAUACUGUUUAUACCAUACUUAGGACCUCCGUAUUUAGAUCUCGUACAAAUACUUGGGGGACUUAAAUGUAAUUAUGUAAUAAAGGAAGGGGCAAAUAUGUAAUAAGUGAGGAGCCCUUAUUCUAUAAAAGGACUCCUCACCCUCACAAUUUGAGGAGGCCAAUCCUUAGGCCAUAUCCUCACCCUCUCAGAGCUCUCAUCCUUACAGAGAAAUACAAUCAGUGUGGACGUAGCCCAAACCUUGGGGUGAACCACGAUACAUCUUGUGUCAUUUACAUUACUUGCAGAUUCACAGUCGGAUUUACAUUAUUCCAAGACCUCCGGUUUUGUGCAUCAACAUUUGGCGCCGUCUGUGGGAAUCGACACAAAAAGCUAUGUCGGUUCUCUUUCAUUUUUUCAUCUUACCACCGUGAGACCUCACCACUGUCCACCGUGGAUCUGCAAAACCAAGAGACACUUCUUCUCUCUGAUUUCUUCCCUCCCUCUCAGUGAAUUUCAGUAUAUCAGUCCUAAGAACUUUGUAAACUUUCCACUUUCAGUUCUUUCCAGUUUCAGUUCUACGAAAAAGAUAUGGAUUACGGCAUACUCAAAUCGUCGGAGCUGGAAGGCUCCUUCAAGCAACACGUGGCAAAAAACCACCCAUCACUCCUACAAACCGCCACAAGAACAAUGUCAUCCUAAUCUUCAACCUGCUGCAGCCGCAAGAACAAGGUUAUCCUAAUCUAUCUCCUCUUCGUCGCACUCAUACUCACGUCCGUCGUCUCCACAGUCAUCCUAGUCGCCGGCCGCUUCAAAGCUUCAAACUCCGCUACCUCCUCCGCCAUCCACCGCAAGCUUACGAAGGCCAUCUCAGACUCAUGCGCCAAGACGUGUUUUCCCUCCCUUUGCGUCGACUCCCUACUCGACUUCCCCGGCUCCACCACCGCGUCGGAGCAUGACCUCGUCCACAUUUCCUUCAACAUGACGUUGCAGUGCCUCAGCGAUGCACUCUGCUCUGCUCCGCCUAUGAUGACUGCCUCGAGCUCAUCGACGACUCCGUCGACGCCCUCUCUCAUGCCCUCACCUUCGUUGUCCCCGGCGCAGCGUCCACGUCCAUACAGGACUUGCUGAUGUGGCUGAGCGCAACGCUCACGAACCAGGACACGUACGGGGAGGGUUUUGAGCAAAUCAAUGGCGGCGACAUUAGGAACAAGAUGGACCAGUGGCUUAAGGACUUGUCGGUACUUAUGAGCAACUGCCUAGCAAUUUAUUCAGCGAUCGGGGGCGACGAUUUCUUUGGAGUCCCGAUACAGAACAGGCGGAAGAGGUUGUUGGGUAAUUCAAGAAAAGAGGGAAGGCGUCGUUAAAGGGAAAAGAUGUAGCUGUGAAUCACAAUGAACAGGAAAAAUAUGAUAGAGAAGAAAUUUACAAAGAAAAGUAAGAAAUCUAUGAAGAUAAGUGCAUCUUCAGUACCAGCGCCGGCUCCUGUGCCUAACAGAGUGAAAGCACGGCAAGCUUUGUUGAGAGAAUAUUUAGUGGAAAGCAAAAGUAAAGUAGAAAAGGUAAAAUGGAAAGAAGGAAAAGCAGAUGGGGUUUUUACAGCUGGAGUACACCAGCUUGUGUUCAAACAGCAAAAAAAGAAAAAAAUGAGGCAUAUAUACCAAAGCUGCUAAUGGUAAGGCAGAUCUUGUCAGCAAGGUUGAAAUAAAUAUUCCCGAGGAUGACCAAAGAAACCCAGCUGUGAUAGUUGAUAAUUGCUUGCGCACUUCCUCAACCAAUACGGAAAGCGUUGUCUGCCAUCUGCCAAAAGGGAAAAGAGAAAGCAAAAGCAGAAAGCAAAAACAAGGAAUAAACACCCCACCAGAAUGAUGUAAUUUAUUUUUAUUAUCUUUCAGAGACAUCUGUAUAAACCCCAUCAUAGGGUAAUAUGUAUAAACCCCAUCAUAGGGUAAUAUGUAUAAACCCCAUUAGAGGGUAAUUAAAAAAAACAAAACAAAACAAAAAACAAAAAACAAAAAAAUAAACGGCAAGCCCAAAAUAAUGGGCUGUAAUGUCAUGUGGAGGGCGAAUGCCCAUAUGCCCAAAAGAGCUAGGCCCUCUAUUAUCACCAACCAGGUGAUCAAAAGUACGCUCAGUACUCCAAAAUUAUUCGGCAACCUGCCGCUAUUACCACCAACCAGGUGAUGAAAUGUACAACCCGUACUCUAAUAUCAUUUGGCAACUAGUCAUUCAUGCCACCAACCAGGUGAUGAAAUGUACAACCCGUACUCUAAUAUCAUUUGGCAACUAGCCAUUUAUGCCACCAACCAGGUGAUGAAAUGUACAACCCGUACUCUCCUUCAUGCCACCAACCAGGUGAUCAAAAGUACGCCCAGUACUCCAAAUUAUACAUGAGCAUUACUCAUGUCAUUCAUACAUAAACAUUCAUGAGCAUCACUCAUGACAAUCAUACAUAAACAUUUAUGACCAUCAUUCAUGUCAACAUUCAUGAGCAUCACUCAUGUUAACAUUCAUGAGCAUCACUCAUGUUAACAUUCAUGAGCAUCACUCUUGACAACAUCCAUGAGCAUCACUCAUGUCAAUCAACAUAAACAUUCAUGAGCAUCACUCAUGUCAAUCAGCUUCAAAAGCUUCAUUUACAGAGCUCUAGCUUCAAAUGCUUCAUUUACAAAAGCUCCAGCUUCGAAAGCUUCAUUUACAGAGCUCUAGCUUCAAAGCUUCACUUGCAAAGCUUCACUAAUAAAGCUUCAGUGCAUGGUAUACAAAUACCGCCUCCGAAGAACCGACACUUCGGCCCAUACAUGGAUUCAAUUUGAAGCCUCCAGCCAACAAACUCUAUUGACCGAAGACUUGGGGGACUACAUUAUGUACCAUAUAUUGGGCCUCAACUGUGCCUCAUGAAAAAUACUUGGGGGACUUAACCCAUUAUUUAUGUAUUGAGGAGCGAGCCCUUAUUCUAUAAAAGGGACUCCCUCACCUUCAUUAGAGAGCAACGUCGCCAGCUGAGCAACCGUCUCACCGCGAGCAUCACUCCUAGCCCAUCACUUAUGUACCGAGGAGCGAGCCCUUAUUUUAUAAAAGGGACUCCCUCAUCUUCAUUAGAGAGCAACGCCGCCAGCUGAGCAACCGCCUCGCCACGAGCAUCACUCCUAGCCCAUCACUUAUGUAUUGAGGAACGAGCCCUUAUUCUAUAAAAAUGACUCCCUCACCUUUAUUAGAGAGCAACACCGCCAGCUGAACAACUGCCUCGCCGCGAGCAUCACUCUUAACCCAUCACUUAUGUAUUGAGGAGCGAGCUUUUAUUCUAUAAAAGGGACUCCUCUCUAGCCCAUCAUUUAUGUAUUAAUGAGCGAGCCCUUAUUCUAUAAAAAGGACCCCCUCACCUUCAAGCGCCACAAGCCGAGCAGCCUCGCAACAUGUGCUACUUAUAGUUAAGCAUCAUUUCACUUUGAGCACCGCCUCAUAUCAAGUAUCAGUUCAAGACGACAUCUAGUUACUUCGGCCCACACAUGGACUGAAUUUCAAGUCUCCAGCCAAAAGACUCUCUUAACUAAAGACUUGGAGGACUACUGUUUAUAUCAUACUUAGGACCUCCGUAUUUAGACCUCGUACAAAUACUCGGAGGACUUAAAUGUAAUUAUGUAAUAAAGGAAUUGGCAAAUAUGUAAUACGUGAGGAGCCCUUAUUCUAUAAAAGGACUCCCCACCCUCACAAUUUGAGGAGAACAAUCCUUAGGCCAUAUCCUCACCAUCUCAGAGCUCUCAUCCUUACAGAGAAAUACAAUCAGUGUGGACGUAGCCCAAACCUUGAGGUGAACCACGAUACAUCUUGUGUCAUUUACAUUACUUGCAGAUUCACGUCAGAUUUACGUUGUUCCAAGACCUCUGGUUUUGUGCAUCAACACAUACAAAUAAAAUGGAGGAGAACCUUUGAAACAAAAAUAUGUAAAGAAAAAGAAUUAAAAAUGAAUAAAAUGAGAGUAUAA
rnacentral:lncRNA from 1 species